AUCCCUUUUACUCUUUGUAAUUAUAACAAAUUCAUUCAAAUUUAAGAUUUCACUCCAACCCCAUAAUUCAAUCCUGACCAGUCAUCUCACUCCGAUUAAAUCUCAUCCAAUCUUUGCAUAUAGAUCUGCGAACCAGAUCAUUUAAUCAUUUAUUCACCCAAACCAUCUACCUAUCGCCUCUCAAUUUUCCGGCGAUACUUCCCCCAUCGGGAACUAAUGACCGAUGAGAAAUGUCAUUGGUCAUGCUCUUCUCCUUCUAUUUUCCUCUUGGUCAUUUUCCUCCUUUCUCUACCCUGGACUUCGCUCUUAUCUCUUCUCUCAAGUGAAGGCAACCACCACAACAUCAAGAGCGGUACUGGUCUGAGCUUUGGUCUGUUGUUGUGAGGAUGAUAAACACCACUGCGACUAAGGGAGUUUCGGUGAAGCACGAGCUUUGGGAUUGGAUUGAAAGCAGAUCCCAUAAGAUUCAUCGCCGAUUUAUUAAACUGCUAAAUCAGUUACUUUUCUUCGCAUAUUUUACCUUUAUGUUUUGCAUCAAUGUCUAUCAACUAUUAUUCAUAAGUUCAGAAUGUGUAGAUUACAUAAAGGAUGAAUUCAGGGCUUCUAUUCUAGAGGAUCUGGUUGACCAAGGCUGGUAGCAAAGAGAAUUUAGUCCGCUAUGCCCGCCUCUACAGGUAACUACUAGGGAACUCCAUCUUGUAAUUUUCACAAUAGCCAGGGAGUUGCACAUUUUAGAGGUAAAAAACCAUCUUCAGGUCACACUUGCUACAAUUGUGGAGACCCUGUGCAUAUAAGGAGAUAUUGUCCUCAUUUGUGUGUAUUGGAUUCCCCACAACAGUCAUCUAUAUUUGUGGUACCCACGGGGAAUGAUAAUAAUGGUAGAGGACAUCAACAAGGUAGACGAGGAGGUAUUUAAAAAGGUUGUGGAGGUAAAGAAAAUAGUGCUGGAGGCAAAGGUAACUCGCAAAAAGGCAUGGAAGUAGCUCGUCAUAAUGAUAGGGCUCAAUGUUAUGUUGUUCCAGGCAAGAAUGAGGUAGAGGCGUUUGAAGUGGUGAUUAGAUUUUUGCAUUGAUUUAGCGCAUUAUAUUCGUCCCAUUCCAUCCUUUCAUACAGCAAGACUCUGACAGAAUUAACAAAGCUGAAGGCUCAUAUCCUAGAGCUUCUUGAUAAGGGAUUAAUUUGCCCUACUGCUUCCACAUGGGGUUCUCAAAAUUAGAUUGUUAAGAAUAAGUACGGUAGCAUGAGAGUCUGUAUAGAUUAUCUACAAUUGGAUAGGGUCAAUAUUCUAAAUAAGUAUCCCUUGCGUCGAAUAGAUGAUCUCUUAGACAAAUUUCAAGGGGCACUGAUUUUCUGUAAGAUUGGUCUAAGAUCAAGUUACCUUCAAUUUAAAAUUAGGUCGUUGGAUGUGCCCAAGAUGGCAUUUAGAACUUAUUAUGGGAACUUUGAAUAUUUUGUUAUAUUUGUUGGUUUGACAAAUGCACCCGCAACUUUCAUAAAAUUAAUGAAUGGGUGUUCAAACCAUUUAUGAAUUCAUUUGUGAUAGUAUUUAUUGAUUA